rnacentral:misc_RNA from 1 species
CUUUGUUGUAAUUUUACUCUUGGUCAUUUAUUCAUUCAUUAAAUUUGCUCCAAUAUUUAAUAAAAUUUAGUUUGAUGUUUGAUAAAAUGACCAAGAGUAAAAUUACAACAAAGAAGAUCACAAAAUGAACAAAUUCUGCACAGAACCAUAAAAAAAAUAACUCCAAUCAAGAAUCUUUCUAAUUAACCUAAUGUGCAAGCUCUGUAUCUCAUCAAUCUUGCAAAGAAAUUCCCAUUUCAGUUUCUUCUUGCUUAAGCAACAACGAUAAUUUUGGUUUCUUUCCAGGCAGUGGACUCUCCACUUCUUGCUCUCUGAAAAUUUCUUGACUGAUUCUUGGAUCAUUGAACUCAGGCAUAGCAGGCACGUUCAGGUCAAAUUCGAAGCCGCCGCCUCGGCUUUGACUUUGACUCUGACUUUGGCUUGCGCCCCCUUCCGAUGAGGCUACAGCGCUGCUGCUAUUGUUGUUGCCACCACCAAUAGGUCCUUCAUAGUGGCGGCGCUUGUGGCCACCUAAGGCUUGACCGG